GACCAGUUAGUUCCAUCGGUAGGCAGCCCUGAAAAGGCCGGCGUCGGCGGUUCGAUCCCGUCUCUGGCCACCA
rnacentral:tRNA from 1 species